CCGUGACCUUCAGCUCAGACUUCCCAUUGGUCGGGGGGAAGUACUUCCGUUGUUCUGACACGCCUACUGACGGUGAUGUCACCGACGUUCUACUCCCCACUGAUCAGCGCUGCCCUUGCCCCAGAGCCUGCCAUGGGAAUCUAACCCUUGGAGGCUGUGGCACUAGCCCCUCUGUGCUGGGCGGGGGGCAGGUGUCCUCUCUCCAUGCCCUGCCUUGUCCCUAUACGCCAAAAAAUCUACAAGAGCUACUCUCAUCACCAAAAAGAAAAGGAGGACUUGUGGCACCUUAGAGACUAACAAAUUUAUUAGAGCAUAAGCUUUCGUGAGCUACAACUCACUUCAUCGGAUGCAUUCUCAUCACCAAGUGGAAGACUGAAACAAUCUCAGCAUUCAAAAAUCACGAGUCAGGCCUCAAGGAUGGGAUCGGCUUAAAAAUUCAUGAGUUGUUAUUUUUUUUUUUUUAAAAGAAUACUUUUGCGUUCUUUUUGUCUUCCGGUUUCUGAGCCUUUCAGGUGCACUCGGGUCAUGUUUUAGACUUUCUUCACAACUGCAAGGGCUAGAAAGGAUUUGGAAUUAAUAGAAUUUAGGAAAGGUUAUUCAGCAAGUUAGAAGAAAAGGAGGACUUGUGGCACCUUAGAGACUAACAAAUUUAUUUGAGCAUAAGCUUUUGUAAGCUACAGCUCACUACACGCACAAAACAAUUCUAACAUUGAGAGAAUAAGCAAAAAAAUUGGUUUUCUGAAUUAAAUAUCACAGAUUAGGAACCCUAAUCCAAAGAAAUGAACAGAUAAAAGUAAUUGGGAAAACAGAUAACAAUAUGCUUAUAAAGGUACAAAAACACAAGAGGAGAGCUUUGCUAAUAAGAAAAAAUAGGAACAUCAGCUUUCUAACUAAAGGAAAGGGAAAUGAUCCAGAGAAGAAAAAGAGAUAAGACCAAGAAAACAAAAUAACUCACUUCUCACUGACCCCAUAAAUCAAACUCACCAGGAAUCACAAAUUCAAAAUAGCCAGUUGGUAGAUGUAGACUCAGAAGGAAAAUAUUUAAAUAAAAACUCCUUUUCCUGGGAAUAGUUAGUUAUCAAUCAAAAAGGGAUUGAUUCUCAGGUACACUGUGACAACUUUAUGGCACUGUGCACUCUAAAGCCAGCUUCCUCAGCCUUUGUCAGUUCCCCCAGGGAAGGGGAAUCCCCUGGUAGCAUAGAGCCACUAAAGUGGCUCCUAUACCAUUUCCCUUCCAGUUGCUGGCAUAGAUGCAAGGUGCCUCGCUGAUGACAGAAUGUAAGAAUGGCCGUAAGACUAAAGUUAGGAUCCUAAAUCCUUAGUUAUCACCUACAUUAAAAUAGCUUGAUUUUCAGAGGUGCUGGGCACUCACAAAAUGCCAAUUAAUUCAAUAGGAGCUGCAGGUGCUCAGCAUUUUUGAAAAAUUAGACUGUUUCUGUUUAGAGAAAUAUAGAUUGGAAAAUGUUGGUUGACAUUAGCGUAUAAAGCAGCUCCUGUUGGCUGGGAACGGCGAACCGUGGCCACUGGGAGCGUCAGACAGCCGUGCCUGCGGACGGUCAAUGUAAACACUGUCUCGCGGUGCGACAACGGAUUACCCUGAUGGGCCGCAUGUGGGCAGCAGGUUGCCCACCCCUGGUAUAAAAUAAUAAAUAUAUAAUAUAAAGCAAGUAUUUGCGAGAGGAUGGGAACAGAAAGUUGUCCUCUGAAAGACAGACUACCAUGCUUAUAGAUCCUUUUGAAGCAGAGGUCCCCAAAGUGUGGGGCUUGUCCCCUAGAGGGGCAUGUAGGAACAUCCUGGGGGGUGCGGUGGGGCCUAGGCCAGCCCCCACGGGAGCAGAGAGGGAGCACCACCCAGGCCCUCCCUGCUCCCAGCUCCACUCUGCUCCUGCCCCUAGCCUCAGUCUCUGGCCACAGCUCCAUUCCCGGCCCAGGGCUGAGGCUGGGGGCAAGGCUGAGAGCAGAGCCUCACCUAGCUGCUGGCCCGGCUGCUGGCCACUACUGCAGCCUGGCUGUUGCUCCGCUUCUGCUCCCGCCCCCGCCCCCAGCUGUGGCCCCCGGCCACAACCACGCUCCCAUCCUCAGACCCACCAGCACCUGCAGCCCUAGCUUGGCCCCUUGCCCCUCUCCGUGUCUCUCCCUUCCCCCUCCCCGCCACACCCCAGAGCCAUGGCCCUGCUCCUGGCCCCAGGUCCCGGGGACAGGGGUGUAGGUGGGAGGGGGGCGUUACCCUCAAAACUUUGGGACUGCUGUUUUGAAGCAUCACACUUCCUUUGGAUCAAUUACCCAUAAACUGUCAUCGUUUAAAUGAAUGAAUAGGAGAAACUGGCUUGACAAUGUGAUAUCUUUCUUUCCAUGAUGUUUACAAGUAAAACAUUAAAAGUGUUCGUAUCACAAAACAUGGCUUUCCUCCGAGGCUGGCAGAAAUAAUGCAAUUGAUUUUUAUAGUUUAACAAAAUGAAAAUCUACUCUAACUUAUUUAACAUCUUGACUUAUUUGGCAACAGCUGUGGUGAACAAGAGCGGAGAAGCUUCUUUUCAAUUUAUGUUUCAAAAAAUAAAAAAGAAGAAAUUUUUGACUUAAUAUCUUUGGGCUAGAUUCACAAAAGAACUUAGGGGUUCUAACUGUUAGGCACCUUGAAAAUCACAGGAACAACACUGCAAGCCACAAAGCCUGAGUAAGGCAUCUAGGCUCCUAUCACAAUGAAUGAGGAGAGAUAGGUGCCUUAGAAUGUGCCUUAGGAGAGCCACCUAAGCUAACCAACAGAGACGCUGAGGAGAAGGAUGUGUCCUAAAGUGCUGUCCCUCUCUCAGAGAUAGAUGCCUACGCCCAGGUUGCAGGAAGAUGUUCAUCUCUGUUGGCCCUCCACAACUGGGAACCCCUAUCCUGGAGUCAGGCAGCUUAGGUGCCCAAAUCAUUUCUUGUGAGAAUGAGUUAAGGGGCUGCCUCAUGUCACACAAAAUGCCUGUCAGAGGAGAUGCUACCCCUUACACUUUGUAACUUUUAGCUCAGUAGUUAGAGUACUCACCCAGGAUGUGGCAGGUCCAGGUUCAAUUCCCUCCCUCUGCUAGAUGUGGAAAGAAAGAAUCUGAACAAUUGUCUCCUACCUCUAAGGAGGUAGCCCCAACCACUUAGCUACAAGAUAGACUGAUGAGGGAUUUCCUCAACUUCUCCUAUUGAUGCUGUUCCACUGUGUAGCAAUAAUUAAAAGAGUGAUUAGCACAUGGAAACUUGAUCCCGGGUUUCUCACCUCUCACAUGGUUGCCCCAACCACCAGGUUACAGAGUCAGUCUCAUACAGCUCACUUCUUUGGCCUAAUGGAGAGAAUUCCAUUGACACAGCUGGCCUUUGACCUCUUAGUUGUGUUAACAAGAGGUGAUGUUCUGUAAAAUGAGAAGUAAAUGGAGGAACUUGCUGCACAUUAACAUGUCCUAAUAAUAAUAAAUUUUAGAAUAUCAUAAGAAGACUUCCACUAGUAUUUCUUGUGACAUUUAGCAAUACAUGUAAAGAGAUGGAACCUAUUAUUUAACAUAGUCAUUAUGAACAGCAUUUAUGCAAGUUCCCAUCCUCAUUCUUAACACAUGCCUGAGCACUAGGUGGAUUAUCCAAGACUCAGGCUCUGUUGGAAUAAAGUUUUCAUGACUUAGAUUGAUGUAUCUGGAAUGUAUAGACUCCUUGAAGCCUCAGGUUAGAUGACCAGAUAGCAAGUGUGAAAAAUCGGGACAGAGGUGGGGGGGUAAUAGGAGCCUAUAUAAGAAAAAGCCCCAAAUAUCUGGACUGUCCCUAUAAAAAUCGGGACAUCUGGUCACCCUAGUCUCAGGUUUCAAGUCUGCAGAGUCAGUUCAGUCAUUCGACAAUGGCACUUUUCAUAAGUAAGAUAUUGCUGUUCUUGGCCAAAAAAAGUAUUCUUUCCUCCAUUUUUGUGAAGUAUACUCUGCACUAUUUGGCAGGUUUUUUUUCAUCCCCAAAGUAAAUGCAGUUGGUUUACAUGUCUAGUCUGUGCAAAACUUCAGAAUCCUUUGUGAUGAAAAGUUCUGCUAUAUAAAUGUACAAUGUUUUAAUUGUUAUUUUUUGUUUAUUGUGACAUCCUGUGGAAAGAUGACAUACAAGUGGUAUUCCUUUUGAUAUUGAUAUUUCUCAGGUAUUAAUUGAAAACUUUGUUCAAUUUGUUUUUUUAAUCUUUCAGUUUAACAUGUCAUUGCAUCAGGUCCUUGACAAAAGACACAGCAUAUUGUAGAAGAUGUGAGAUGUCAUCAUGAUCACCAUUAGAUAAGGAUGCAAAAAAAUAUUUAAACAUGCAAAUUCUCCGUACAACUGUAACUACAGAAAAUAAAAUAAUAUACAUAUAAAAUG